UACGGGAGGCAGCAGUGGGGAAUAUUGCACAAUGGGCGAAAGCCUGAUGCAGCUAUGCCGCGUGUAUGAAGAAGGCCUUAGGGUUGUAAAGUACUUUCAUCGGGGAGGAAAAAACAAAACUAAUAAUUUUAUUUCUUGACGUUACCCGAAAAAGAAGCACCGGCUAACUCCGUGCCAGCAGCCGCGGUAAUACGGAGGGUGCUAGCGUUAAUCAGAAUUACUGGGCGUAAAGAGCACGUAGGUGGUUUUUUUAAGUCAGAUGUGAAAUCCCUGGGCUUAACCUAGGAACUGCAUUUUGAAACUGAAAUACUAGAGUAUCGUAGAGGGAGGUAGAAUUCUAGGUGUAGCGGUGAAAUGCGUAGAUAUCUGGAGGAAUACCUGUGGCGAAAGCGGCCUCCUAAACGAAUACUGACACUGAGUGCGAAAGCGUGGGGAGCAAACGAGGGAUUAGAUA
rnacentral:rRNA from 1 species